CGUCUUUCUCCUAGAUGAUCUUUUCAAGGAUGUUUAUAUAGCAAAUUGCCUUGGCAGUUAGAGAAAGUGUCUCUUUCUGGUGCAAAGGGCACAUUUGCUUACAAUCUAGAAAGAUGCAGGAUAUCCUUUCCAGAGCGAUGAACAGAUAUGCUUACUGCCCAGUAUAAGAGGUCUGGUUCCCUAAAAAUGCAAUUUCUUUCCUGCAGUCAACUGUGUGUCCACAUAUCAGUUGACCCUCUUUGUAUCAUCCUGUGGAAAUUGAGGUUUGGAGAACUAGUGUAAAAAGAACCAUUCUCUGGCUACUGCUAUUGCUUUGAGUAAUAAACUUUGCUUUGUUUUUGACUCAAGGGUUUCAUGUCUCUUGUCAGCAUCCAUGAAACUGUGGCCAAUGAACAGACUGACUUGCUAACAGUAAAGAUCUCAAACUCUUCAUAGUUCUUGACAACAUUCGGUGUGAUGUCACGAUAUUACAGGUUUUUGAUUUCUUAGGACUGUGUCCUAUAACAUUACACUCCAUCAGAGAAGCAUCACAUCUCCCAAAUCUCCUGUCCUCUCUGCGUUCCUGUUUUCUUCCCAGCCCCAGCUCACACCUCCCAUCAUCUGCGGACGACAGGUCCCCGUUCACAUGUUGGUGAAUGCGGUCUCUCAGGGUGUUUGUCACUGUCAUGUUCUGAUUGUUUGUCUACAGUGCUCAGACUUUGUUCCAUCUCUGGCACACAGACAUUGAAAUGAAACGGAAAAAGAUCCCAUUCACUAAUGCUUUAACAACUGAAAGGCCCACCCACAAGCUUCACGUCUUUUCUCUCAAAUCUCUUCCUUCAGGUAUGGAUCAUCCUUUGUGGUUGAUGUUUAGAGAUGUGAUAUGAAACUGAAGACAAACGGUCCAAUAUGUACCUGAAAUCUUUCUAAUGCAAUAUUUAUUAACUUUUUUCAUAACUAAAAUAUUUUGCUAUUUAUUUAAUCUCUCUCUUACAGAAUGUGCUAUAUUCUAUUAACAGGAAUUUUAAG
rnacentral:lncRNA from 1 species